AUCUGAAUGGAAAAGUCAAACAAAGGAAGAAUUAUUUCCCCCGUUUACAGAUUGGAAACUGAGGCACAGAGAUACAUGAGCUGCUCAUGAGUCUGGUGCAGCAGGGACUAGAGCUCCUUCAUGCCAGUCCAAGGCUGCAACCGCACAGCCUUCCUCCAUGGUGCCCUGCUCCUAUUUCUGGAAAACUGGUAACACGUAUUUAACAGUAUGCCUUGAAAAACAAUACAACUCCAAGCUUAGUAAAUAGCAAUAGUGAGCAACAUGUAACACCAAGGACCUGUGGCUUUGUAAAGGGUUAACAAGUUCAGUGAGCCUGGCUGUCACCUGACCAGAGGACCAAUCAGGGGACAGGAUACUUUCAAAUCUUGAGGGAGGGAAUUUUUGUGUGUGCUGUUAGUGUUUGGUUGUUGUUCACUCUGGGGGCUCAGAGGGACCAGACGUGCAACCAGGUUUCUCUCCAAUCUCUCCAAUACAGGCUCUCA